rnacentral:lncRNA from 1 species
AAUAAUAAAAUUCAUAAAAUGCCCAAACUUCAAACUUUAAAAUCUUUUUCAUUAUAACUCCAAAUCACGAACCGUCUGCACCCACGCUUCCGUAGUGACGAGUACUACGAGGAUAUGUCAGGAAAACAAAUCUUAGAUGGCAUGACACAACGAUUAACCUCGAAUAAUGCGCGUGCCUAAAAGGGCAUUUUUGUAAAAGCCUUUAUUAAAACUUUAAAAACUCUAAAAUCAGGGAUGGGCUGUCACAUAUAUUUUCUGAUAAUGUUCAAGAAAUUUAAGUUUGACAUUACACUAUGUUUGGAUGAGGCAAAUAAACUUGGAAUUUGGGUAAAAGUCAGAAUUUAUAAAUUGACAUGCUCUAAUUCCCUUGUUUGGAUUCAUACACAUAGAAAUUUAGAAUUUUUGUGUGGAAAAAAAAACUUGAAAUUUGGGACCUCCAAUUCCCAAGUUUAAAUUCCUUGUAAAUAUGUGUCAUUUCCCAAUUUCUAGAAUUGAGAGUUUAAAAAUAACAAAUUCCGUAUUCAGUUCCAUUGUUCUAUUAGGUUAACCAAACAAGAAAAUAAAAAAAAUUUAGAAAAUAAAAUCUUGUCAUUUCAAUUUCCGUCAUUUUAAAAUUCCUUAGUAAACUUAAAUUUCUUCAUCCAAAGAUAGUGUUAGUUCGUUGCAUUAUCUUUGUUUUAACCAUAUUUGUUUUUAUGAUCAUGACUUGGAAAACUUAUAUGCACGGAGCCUUGUUGAUUUAACACUUCAUAUGUAAAUUAGUUAGCUUAUGUAAACCUUGUGAGCUUUUAGCCUAUUUAUGAUUGAACCAUGACGCAUCAAUCUCAUUUUUCUUGUGGGCAUGAUCUCAUUUUACAUGUAUCUCUAGAACUUGCUUUAUACCUCUCAUUACAUUCAUCAAUGCAUGUAAAAUAAUAGAAAUGACAUAGGCAAUUUUAUUUUAUUUUUUUCCGUUUGAGCCUUUCUAGCCAGCGCUUAUUAUUAUUUUCCCUAGUUAGCCUUGUUAAGCCUUUAUGUGAGUCUUUUUUUUUUCUUUAACCUAAAUAAUUCCUACCUAGCGUUGUGAAAAUUUUCCUACCCGUCUAAAGAGCUUGUAGAGUAAUUCUUCGAGAAAAGAGAGUUCAAAGGGUUGUGGGCUAAAUAUUGUAAUAGAAGGAAAAAAAAAAGAUGUUGUUAGGUGCAAAAGAAAGUAGUGCCGUGGAAAAUAAAUGUUUGAGAAAAAAAAAAUAAUAGCAUGCGGCAAGAAGAAAAGUAAAAAAAAAGUGUAAAGUUGUGCUUAAGUUCUAAUUGCUUUCAAGUUAUUUGAAUUUCUCUCUAAGAGGAAAAAUUUGGAGUGUUCUACAAGUUUCUUAGAUCUUUGUUUCUCCAUACCCUCUUAAUUGUUUAGCCAAUUAACCCUGUACCCUAGACUUGGCAUUCGUGUA